rnacentral:rRNA from 1 species
UACGUAGGUGACAAGCGUUAUCCGGAAUACUGGGCGUAAAGCGCACGCAGGCGGCUGCGUAAGUCUGACGUGAAAUCUCCCGGCUUAACCGGGAGCGGUCGUUGGAAACUAUGCGGCUUGAGGCGAUGAGAGGGGUGUGGAAUUCCCGGUGUAGUGGUGGAAUGCGUAGAUAUCGGGAGGAACAUCAGUGGCGAAAGCGGCACCCUGGCAUUAGCCUGACGCUCAGGUGCGAAAGCGUGGGGAGCGAACGGG